rnacentral:rRNA from 7 species
UAACAAGGUUUCCGUAGGUGAACCUGCGG